GAUGAAUGCUGGCGGCGUGCCUAACACAUGCAAGUCGAGCGGCAGCGAGGGGUGCUUGCACCCUGUCGGCGAGCGGCGAACGGCUGAGUAACGCGUAGGAAUUUGCCCCAAAGUGAGGAAUAACUGCCCGAAAGGGUAGCUAAUGCCGCAUAUAGUCUUCGGAUUAAAGGAUUUAUCCGCUUUGGUAGAAGCCUGCGUUGGAUUAGGUUGUUGGUAGGGUAAUGGCCUACCAAGCCGACGAAGCAUAGCUGGUCUGAGAGGAUGAUCAGCCAGACUGGAACUGAGACACGGUCCAGACUCCUACGGGAGGCAGCAGUGAGGAAUCUUCCACAAUGGGCGAAAGCCUGAUGGAGCAACGCCGCGUGAAGGAUGAAGGCAUUCGGGUUGUAAACUUCUUUUAUGAGUGAAGAAUAUGACGGUAACUCAUGAAUAAGCACCGGCUAACUACGUG
rnacentral:rRNA from 1 species